AGGUACGACAGAUAAUGGCAAAUGUUUAUCAUAAAAUUUGUGUCUAAUUUUUUCGGAUCUUACAAAUUUCGAUUUAUUUUCGAGUAUGAUGGAGCGAAAUUAAAAUUAAAAUUCCAUCUCAAUGACAAGACAAAUAGUGCAGUUGGACUCUCUGUAAUCUGCAAACUUGUUUGUUUACAUAUUUUGAGUGAUUGUUUUCGAAGUGAUAAGAUAGUGAUGAUAAGUGGUCAAGAAACUGUGAUAUUUAAAGCAAUUAAAAAUGUAUCUUUUAGCGGCUCUCAGUUGAUUGUGAUUAAGAGUAUUUAAUUUAAAUACCUAAGUGAAAUCAUGAAUGAAUUAAUUACCCAAGCUUUCUUGAAGUUUCCGCUCCUCAUCCCAAACCAUAAUUUUACCAAAUGGAACGGCUAUAUUUCCUGUUCUAAAGAGCAGGAACUGUUAAUUUCAGUGGUUUGUCCAAAAUUUCCAUCUUUAGAAGGCACGAUUGUCCAAGCGCCUACCUCCCUGGCAGUAUCUCCACUUCAAAGAACCACUCUGCAAAAUAUUAUCAGAGGAGCAAAAUCUUUUCUAGGCCUCCUGGGUGAACUGCAAAUCUUCUUUGCAUCUCUGCUGCCGAACGAGACAUCUUCGAUCCGUAAAGACAUUCAGGCAUCUCACAAAUCAAACGUAUUCGAGUCUGCACGCAGCAUCUUGGCCGAGCUGACGGACAAAGUCGGGCUCGAUGCGGUACAUUCUCUGUCCGGCGAUCUCAAGAAACUCAUUUUACUUCACAUUGAUGACAGCGAGAGAGAGCAUCGGUUAGAACUGAAAAUUCCCACCAACUAUCCGAGGGAUCGUCCUGAGAUACUGUCCGUUGAUUUGCCGGAAGCCGUCCAACCACAAUUCGCUGAAUCACACUCGAUCAGUGACUUUUACCAACAGUUCACAUGUGUGAUUCAGUCAUUGCAAGGGUUUUGGCAGGCGUGCGAUACUUUACGUACGAACGUCAAUGUACUUGAACCUAGAGACCCUAUGUUCAAGACACCGUAUGGCGAAUAGCAAUCGCGAAUGAUGUUUUUGCAUCCUUAAUCCUCAACCCACUGGAAAUUCAAAAUUGUCCGAUUAUCCGCAUUGUUGGCAAUAGAAAAGAUAGUUUAGAGUUUGAAGCUAUUCUGGAGAAAAACUUGAAGGCAAGUGUAAAUUAUCAUUUCUGGAAUUCAUUACUUUUAAAAACUGUUUCCUAACUCUCAGUAACUUCAGCUACGUGUCAAAUACUCUGACUUGUUUAGUUUUUUUUCUGUUUCAUUUCAUCCCCUACUCCAAACUUAAUCAGUCGAUCUCCACUAAUACUCUAAAGUAAAAUGAAUUGAACACUUUUGAUGGAUGAACCGUUUUCAUAGAGCGAAGAAGAGACAUCCAUAAAAGCCCUCUUUGGUCCGACUCUAGUUAUAUCUCCUCC
rnacentral:lncRNA from 1 species